UACGAAGGGGGCUAGCGUUGCUCGGAAUCACUGGGCGUAAAGGGUGCGUAGGCGGGUCUUUAAGUCAGAGGUGAAAGCCUGGAGCUCAACUCCAGAACUGCCUUUGAUACUGAGGAUCUCGAGUUCGGGAGAGGUGAGUGGAACUGCGAGUGUAGAGGUGAAAUCCGUAGAUAUUCGCAAGAACACCAGUGGCGAAGGCGGCUCACUGGCCCGAUACUGACGCUGAGGCACGAAAGCGUGGGGAGCAAACAGG
rnacentral:rRNA from 1 species